AGUGAACGCUGGCGGCAGGCCUAAUACAUGCAAGUCGAACGGCAGCACGGCAGAGCUUGCUCUGUGGGUGGCGAGUGGCGGACGGGUGAGGAAUACAUGGGAAUCUGCCCAGUCGUGGGGGAUAACGUAGGGAAACUUACGCUAAUACCGCAUGCGCCCUUCGGGGGAAAGCCGGGGACCGUUCGGGCCUGGCGCGAUUGGAUGAGCCCAUGUCGGAUUAGCUAGUUGGCGGGGUAAUGGCCCACCAAGGCGACGAUCCGUAGCUGGUCUGAGAGGAUGAUCAGCCACACUGGAACUGAGACACGGUCCAGACUCCUACGGGAGGCAGCAGUAGGGAAUAUUGGACAAUGGGCGCAAGCCUGAUCCAGCCAUGCCGCGUGAGUGAAGAAGGCCCUCGGGUUGUAAAGCUCUUUUGUCCGGAAGAAAGCGCCGGGUUAAUACCCUGGUGUCCUGACGGUACCGGAAGAAUAAGCACCGGCUAACUUCGUGCCAGCAGCCGACGG
rnacentral:rRNA from 1 species